rnacentral:rRNA from 1 species
GUCGAGAAUCUUCCGCAAUGGGCGCAAGCCUGACGGAGCGACACCGCGUGCAGGAUGAAGGCCUUCGGGUUGUAAACUGCUGUCACGCUUUAGGAAUCUACGGGUGUUAACAGCACUCGGAUUGACGAAGGCGAGAGGAAGCACCGGCUAACUCUGUGCCAGCAGCCGCGGUAAGACAGAGGGUGCAAACGUUGUUCGGAAUUACUGGGCAUAAAGAGCACGUAGGUGGUCUACUAAGUCACGUGUGAAAUCCCCCGGCUCAACCGGGGAAUUGCGUGUGAUACUGGCGGGCUCGAGGCGGGUAGGGGUGAGCGGAACUCCAGGUGGAGCGGUGAAAUGCGUAGAUAUCUGGAGGAACACCGGUGGCGAAAGCGGCUCACUGGACCCGAUCUGACACUGAGGUGCGAAAGCUAGGGUAGCAAACGGGAUUAGAUACCCCAGUAGUCC